UACAUUUUGGAUGUCAGUCCUUUGUCAAUAGUUGUUUUAGGUUUUUCUUCCACUCAGUGGUUUGUUUUCUGAUACUAUUAAAGGUGUUUUUUGAUAAACAAAAGAUCUUAAUUUUUUCCCUUCUUUUACUGAAGUUCCUAUUUUCAAUCACAGAAUAAUAAAGAAAAGUGAGCACCCACAUGCCAUUGUCUACAUUGGACAAAUUUCACAUUUUGCCAUAUUUGCUUUAUCUUAUGUUUGCUGAAACAUUUUAAAAUUAAUUAGAUAUAGUCCACUCCUUAAAGCUUCAGCAUGUAUCCCUAAAACUAAGUACAUUCUUUAAUAGCUCAUCUAUACUCAAACACCCAUAAUUGUCCCAAUUGUCUUUUAAAGAGAUUUUUUUCCCCCAAAGCCAUGUCCUUUCCAAAAGGACCACAAAUUACACUUAGUGGUUCUUAUAGGUAGGGCCUCUGCAAAUGCCAGAACUACGGACCUUCCAGAGCAACAAUCUCCCUACCCUUUUAUUAAGAUAGGUUUCUUUACCAAAAGAUCUUAAUUUUAAUGAAGUCUAUUUUAUCAGUCUCUUCCUCCAUAGUUAGUGUUUUUGCGUUUAAGAAAACAUUGGCUACCUUAAAGGUAUGAAGCUAUUCUCUUACGUUUUCUUUUAGAAGUUUCUUGGUUUUACUCUUCACAUUAGAUCUUUAUCCAUUUUAAGUUAAUCUUAUAUAUAGUGUGAGGAAGGGGUCAGGGUUCUUUUUUUCAUAUAGAACUCCAUUUGACCCAGAAUCAUUUAAUUAAAAAAUCACCCUCUCCUCCCCUGACUUGAACCUUUGUCAUAAAUCACAUAAUUGCAUAUGGGUGAUGACCUCUCCCAAAUAUUCUAUUAAACCUAUUAAUUAUUUGAGUAAACAUUACAAUUAUUCAAUUGGUGAACAAUUUUUCAACUGGUAAAAAAAAAAACAAAUUAAAAAAAAGAUGAGACUGAGUUCAAAAG